UACAGAGGUCCCGAGCGUUUGUUCGGAUUCACUGGGCGUAAAGGGUGCGUAGGUGGCGAGGAAAGUCGGAUGUGAAAGCUCGGAGCUCAACUCCGAAAUGGCAUUGGAAACUACCUUGGCUCGAGGGUUGGAGGGGGGGACUGGAAUUCUCGGUGUAGCAGUGAAAUGCGUAGAUAUCGAGAGGAACACCAGUGGCGAAGGCGAGUCCCUGGACAACUCCUGACACUGAGGCACGAAAGCUAGGGGGAGCAAACAGG
rnacentral:rRNA from 1 species